AACCGUUAUAACCGGCGAUUUCCGAAUGGGGAAACCCAGUGUGUUUCGACACACUAUCAUUAACUGAAUCCAUAGGUUAAUGAGGCGAACCGGGGGAACUGAAACAUCUAAGUACCCCGAGGAAAAGAAAUCAACCGAGAUUCCCCCAGUAGCGGCGAGCGAACGGGGAGGAGCCCAGAGCCUGAAUCAGUGUGUGUGUUAGUGGAAGCGUCUGGAAAGGCGCGCGAUACAGGGUGACAGCCCCGUACACAAAAAUGCACAUGCUGUGAGCUCGAUGAGUAGGGCGGGACACGUGGUAUCCUGUCUGAAUAUGGGGGGACCAUCCUCCAAGGCUAAAUACUCCUGACUGACCGAUAGUGAACCAGUACCGUGAGGGAAAGGCGAAAAGAACCCCGGCGAGGGGAGUGAAAAAGAACCUGAAACCGUGUACGUACAAGCAGUGGGAGCCUCUUAAUGGGGUGACUGCGUACCUUUUGUAUAAUGGGUCAGCGACUUAUAUUCUGUAGCAAGGUUAACCGAAUAGGGGAGCCGAAGGGAAACCGAGUCUUAACUGGGCGUUAAGUUGCAGGGUAUAGACCCGAAACCCGGUGAUCUAGCCAUGGGCAGGUUGAAGGUUGGGUAACACUAACUGGAGGACCGAACCGACUAAUGUUGAAAAAUUAGCGGAUGACUUGUGGCUGGGGGUGAAAGGCCAAUCAAACCGGGAGAUAGCUGGUUCUCCCCGAAAGCUAUUUAGGUAGCGCCUCGUGAAUUCAUCUCCGGGGGUAGAGCACUGUUUCGGCAAGGGGGUCAUCCCGACUUACCAACCCGAUGCAAACUGCGAAUACCGGAGAAUGUUAUCACGGGAGACACACGGCGGGUGCUAACGUCCGUCGUGAAGAGGGAAACAACCCAGACCGCCAGCUAAGGUCCCAAAGUCAUGGUUAAGUGGGAAACGAUGUGGGAAGGCCCAGACAGCCAGGAUGUUGGCUUAGAAGCAGCCAUCAUUUAAAGAAAGCGUAAUAGCUCACUGGUCGAGUCGGCCUGCGCGGAAGAUGUAACGGGGCUAAACCAUGCACCGAAGCUGCGGCAGCGACACUAUGUGUUGUUGGGUAGGGGAGCGUUCUGUAAGCCUGUGAAGGUGGCCUGUGAGGGUUGCUGGAGGUAUCAGAAGUGCGAAUGCUGACAUAAGUAACGAUAAAGCGGGUGAAAAGCCCGCUCGCCGGAAGACCAAGGGUUCCUGUCCAACGUUAAUCGGGGCAGGGUGAGUCGACCCCUAAGGCGAGGCCGAAAGGCGUAGUCGAUGGGAAACAGGUUAAUAUUCCUGUACUUGGUGUUACUGCGAAGGGGGGACGGAGAAGGCUAUGUUGGCCGGGCGACGGUUGUCCCGGUUUAAGCGUGUAGGCUGGUUUUCCAGGCAAAUCCGGAAAACCAAGGCUGAGGCGUGAUGACGAGGCACUACGGUGCUGAAGUGACAAAUGCCCUGCUUCCAGGAAAAGCCUCUAAGCAUCAGGUAACAUCAAAUCGUACCCCAAACCGACACAGGUGGUCAGGUAGAGAAUACCAAGGCGCUUGAGAGAACUCGGGUGAAGGAACUAGGCAAAAUGGUGCCGUAACUUCGGGAGAAGGCACGCUGAUAUGUAGGUGAAGCGACUUGCUCGUGGAGCUGAAAUCAGUCGAAGAUACCAGCUGGCUGCAACUGUUUAUUAAAAACACAGCACUGUGCAAACACGAAAGUGGACGUAUACGGUGUGACGCCUGCCCGGUGCCGGAAGGUUAAUUGAUGGGGUUAGCGGUAACGCGAAGCUCUUGAUCGAAGCCCCGGUAAACGGCGGCCGUAACUAUAACGGUCCUAAGGUAGCGAAAUUCCUUGUCGGGUAAGUUCCGACCUGCACGAAUGGCGUAAUGAUGGCCAGGCUGUCUCCACCCGAGACUCAGUGAAAUUGAACUCGCUGUGAAGAUGCAGUGUACCCGCGGCAAGACGGAAAGACCCCGUGAACCUUUACUAUAGCUUGACACUGAACAUUGAGCCUUGAUGUGUAGGAUAGGUGGGAGGCUUUGAAGUGUGGACGCCAGUCUGCAUGGAGCCGACCUUGAAAUACCACCCUUUAAUGUUUGAUGUUCUAACGUUGGCCCCUAAUCGGGGUUGCGGACAGUGUCUGGUGGGUAGUUUGACUGGGGCGGUCUCCUCCUAAAGAGUAACGGAGGAGCACGAAGGUUGGCUAAUCCUGGUCGGACAUCAGGAGGUUAGUGCAAUGGCAUAAGCCAGCUUGACUGCGAGCGUGACGGCGCGAGCAGGUGCGAAAGCAGGUCAUAGUGAUCCGGUGGUUCUGAAUGGAAGGGCCAUCGCUCAACGGAUAAAAGGUACUCCGGGGAUAACAGGCUGAUACCGCCCAAGAGUUCAUAUCGACGGCGGUGUUUGGCACCUCGAUGUCGGCUCAUCACAUCCUGGGGCUGAAGUAGGUCCCAAGGGUAUGGCUGUUCGCCAUUUAAAGUGGUACGCGAGCUGGGUUUAGAACGUCGUGAGACAGUUCGGUCCCUAUCUGCCGUGGGCGCUGGAGAACUGAGGGGGGCUGCUCCUAGUACGAGAGGACCGGAGUGGACGCAUCACUGGUGUUCGGGUUGUCAUGCCAAUGGCACUGCCCGGUAGCUAAAUGCGGAAGAGAUAAGUGCUGAAAGCAUCUAAGCACGAAACUUGCCCCGAGAUGAGUUCUCCCUGAGACUUAGAGUCUCCUGAAGGAACGUUGAAGACGACGACGUUGAUAGGCCGGGUGUGUAAGCGCAGCGAUGCGUUGAGCUAACCGGUACUAAUGAACCGUGAGGCUUAACCUUACAACGCCGAAG
rnacentral:rRNA from 1 species